ACGUGCCAUUGUCCUAGUACGGCGAGUGAAGCGGCAACAGCUCAAAUUUGAAAGCUCCCCACCGGGCGCAUUGUAAUUUGCAGAGGAUGCUUUGGAGACGUGCCUGGUCUAAGUCCAUUGGAACAUGGCGUCGCAGAGGGUGAGAGUCCCGUACGCGGCCGGGUGCCUAUCCGUGUAAAGCUCCUUCGACGAGUCGAGUUGUUUGGGAAUGCAGCUCUAAAUGGGAGGUAAAAUUCUUCUAAAGCUAAAUACCGGCCAGAGACCGAUAGCGCACAAGUAGAGUGAUCGAAAGAUGAAAAGCACUUUGAAAAGAGAGUUAAAAAGUACGUGAAAUUGUUGAAAGGGAAGCGUUUGCGGCCAGACUUCACGGCGUUGCUCAGCCGGGCUUUGCCCGGUGCACUCUUCGCCCGUGAGGCCAGCAUCAGUUUGGGCGCCUGGAUAAAGGCCAUGGGAACGUAGCUCCCCCGGGAGUGUUAUAGCCCUAGGUACAAUACAGGCCGCCUGGACUGAGGACAGCGUUCGCUAGGAUGCUGGCGUAAUGGCAGCCAACGGCCCGUCUUGAAACCACGGACCA
rnacentral:rRNA from 1 species